rnacentral:rRNA from 1 species
GUCUACGGCCAUGCUGCCCUGAACAAGCCCGAUCUCGUCUGAUCUCGGAAGCUAAGCUAAGUUGGGUAGGCCCUGGUUAGUACUUGGAGGGGAGACCACCUAGUAAGACCAGGUGCUGUAGCCG